GGCUGUCUCAAAUCUAUUCUGAAUUCAAGAGGAUCAAGUUAAUAGCCGUUAGAAGUGCUUGACGCGUCACGCAAUUUUCAGUCCAUCAAAACAUCCAUUGUCUGACAAUGACACGACGUAAAGACGUCGAGGUACUUAAUCGUCUUCAUGUAAAUGCAGGCCUGAUCUUAAGUGCAGACACUCGAUAACUUGAUUCUCGACGUGUAGAUAUUACACCAACCUUCAAGGGCAAAGAUCCCAAUUUAUUUAUCAUGAAAUAUUCAACAAGCGUGAAAUUACUACGAUAUAUCAGUUAUCUUUAAUCUGAUACUCCUAAAUCAGCUUACACAAUCUAGGAGAUAUAACUUAUAUAGCCUACAGACUACAGUGGCGUAGCCAGACCUUCAUUUUUGGUGGGGCGAAGCAAACGCCGAAGGCGCGAGACCGGUCAAACUUUAUAUAGAAAGAAAACAAACUCAUAGAGAAAGAAUUCAAAACAAACUCAUUUUGGAGGAAAAUUUUGAAAUCUAGAGUCCCUGAAAUGCGAUUUCAAGCAUUUUGGGGGUGAAAUCUUGCAGAAUUCCGAAGAUUAUAAAGUACAUCGAAGACAUGAAUUUUUCCAGACAUUUCUAAUUUUCUACUCGGAAUUAAAUAAAUUGGAAAAGUCGCCUUGAAAAACAGGAGGAGCCGGUCAGCGUCACCUUAUUUGCCCUCUGUGAUGCUGGGGGAAGAAAAUCCCAAUGUGAUUUUGAUCAGAAAUGUUGCAUUUAAAUCAUAGUAUGUUCUUACUCGCAACUGCAAAGACCAUUGGGAUCCUGACUAUAAAAAAAUUACGGGAUAAAAUUAAACAGACUCCAAGCAAGGCCCUUCGUCCGGAAGUUAUGGUUUUGUUAUAUUGAAGCUAGUACCGUAUGUACUGCCUGUGUAAAGUUAUUACUUGGUAAUUGAUAGGCGACUUAAUUGAUGAUGCACAUCUAUCACAGGGUCGGA